rnacentral:rRNA from 1 species
GCUAAAUACCGGGACGAGUCCGAUAGUCGACAAGUACCGUGAGGGAAAGUUGAAAAGAACUUUGGAGAGAGAGUUCAAGAGAACGUGAAACCGCCCAGGGGUAAACGGGUGGGACCGCUCACCGCGAUCGCGGGGGGACUCAGUCCGGUGCUGCCUAGGCUCGAGCCCAAACUCGAUGUGUUCUUUAACAUAGGCCGUUGCGGACGUCGUCGUGUUCGCGGGGAUUCGUCCUCGCGGACCAGCUUUUGUGCCCGCGUCGCCGACGAAGGAGACGGGCCGCGUCUAUAGCGGGAAGGGAAACGUGGUGACACGGCAACGUCGUGUCGCCGCUUCUUCUUUCCUCCUGCUCCCUUGGCGCGCGCUGCCGACAUUAUCCCGUCACCUUCUUCUCGCUCGGCAAUCAAUGGCGCGGGCGCUUCGGCGCGACGUAACCUAACCACCGCACGGUCGUCACCGGACGCACUUCCCCUCCGGUCCGUCGUCGCGACCCGUUCCCGGCGUGCAGGUCGACACGCGGGUAUUCCGUAGACGGCAGGCGCUUCAGAAAACUCUCGUCACCGCUCCGGCGGUGUCGGGGGCCACCAGCCGUCGGGCYCRCGAACGUAACUGCCCCUUUCUGCUGGGGACGGAGGAAAACUGACGCGAUCCGUUACACGUGGCGAGCCGGUUCGCCUUUAAUUCCGUUGGACGUCUCGCGCGCGGGGGGCAACCCUCGCUUCGGCGCCCCACCGUCUUGGGCGUGCGCGAGACAUGAGACGGGAGAGAACCGGCGCGGCCUCGCCGUCACGCACCUCGCCGGUGCGCGGGUUUUGCCGGGGGAAACUCCGUCAUGCCCGCGCCGUCCGGCGUGGUCGCUCGGCGACGUGCUUCACGGCCGCCCGCCACUUCGGGUCAGCGACGUGCAUCGGCAACCCACCCGACCCGUCUUGAAACACGGACCGAGGAGUCCUGGCCGUUCGCGAGUCGUAGGGGCCCCCUCUGACUAACCCCGAAGGCGUAGCGAAAGCGAGAGAGCGUGUUGGAGGGCGUCGACCGGGAGAGGUGUCGUGGCGAAGUCGUGCAGGGGUCGUCGGGGGAAAAGCGGCUUCGGUCGUUUCUUUUCUCGCCUCACCUGCCCUCCGAGCCGUGCCCGAUCCCGCCGGCGCGGUGUCUUGUCUUCUGCGUCGCCCUCUCGUCGCGCAUGUUGCCCGGCAACGGGCGACGACGCGCGGCGACGACGUGCGYGGUUGUUUCCCUCCUGCCCGAGAGGGCAUCGGUUCCAUGGGAAUUGCGGGGCAUCAGCUUCUAUCCUCCUACCGCCCAUCGGUGAGAUCCCGCGGCUUGAACUAGUCCUAUUUUGUCGUCGAGUUUAGGCACUGCACGCGGGYGCAUCACCCCCGGGUCGGCGGUGAAAACCAUUCCGAGUACGACUCGGCCGACUCUGGCGUAGCGAGCGGCCAGGGACCCGAAAGAUGGCGAUCCACGCCCGGUCGGGAUGAAGCCAGAGGAAACUCUGGUGGAAGUCCGAAGCGCCUCUGACGUGCAAAUCGAUCGUCGGAACCGGGUGUAGGGGCGAAAGACCAAUCGAGCCGUCUAGUAGCUGGUUCCCUCCGAAGUUUCCCUCAGGAUAGCUGGCGCUCGAUCGUCGCAAUUCCAUCCGGUAAAGCGAACGAUUGGAGGCCCCGGGGCCGUUCACGGCCUCGACCUACUCUCGAACUCGGAACGGGUGGAACGGGCCGACUCUCCCGAACAACGGAGCCGACCCACAUUUUCCUGUCGCGCAGCUCGCGCGACAACGAAAACGAAUGCGAGUGCCAAGUGGGCCACUUUUGGUAAGCAGAACUGGCGCUGUGGGAUGAACCAAACGUCCGGCUAAGGUGCCUAACGCGACGCCCAUGAGAUCCCCGAAAGGGUGUCGGUCGAUAUAGACAGCAGGACGGUGGCCACGGAAGUCGGAAUCCGCUAAGGAGUGUGUAACAACUCACCUGCCGAAUCGACCGGCCCCGAAAAUGGAUGGCGCUGGAGCGACGGACCGAUGCCGGACCGUCGCGGCGAGGAGCGAUCAACGGGGUUGGGGUGGUUYACGCCGUCCUUUCCCCGCGCGCCGAAACGAUGCCGCGACGAGUAGGAGGGCGCCGCGGCGAGCACGGAAGCCUAGGGCGCGAGCCCGGGUGGAGCCGACCGCGGGUGCAGAUCUCGGUGGUAGUAGCAAAUAUUCGAACGAGACCUUYGAAGACCGAAGUGGAGAAGGGUUCCGUGCCAACGGCGGUCGAGCACGGGUCAGUCGGUCCUAAGACGCGGGCGAAAGUCUUCCCGAAAGGCGCCGGAUCCGUCGUCGGUACAAACGUGGUGCAUCUCUCACGGGGUGCAUCACGACAGCAUUGAAGCGGCCGGCCUCCCGUCGAAAGGGAAUCGGGUUAAUAUUCCCGAACCCGGACUCGGAGAGGGCCCGAGGGUGGCGACGUCGUCGGCAGCAAUGUCGUCGGCGCCCGUCGCUUCUCGGGCGAAACCGCGGUGACGC